rnacentral:pre_miRNA from 1 species
UUGUUUCUUGGAGUUCCUCUGAACGCUUCAUAGAGAAUUAUUGAUAGUUCUAUCUCAAUGAAGUGUUUGGGGGAACUCCUAGUAUUCG